rnacentral:rRNA from 1 species
UACGUAGGGCGCAAGCGUUUAUCCGGAAUUAUUGGGCGUAAAGAGCUCGUAGGCGGUUUGUCGCGUCUGCCGUGAAAACCUAAGGCUCAACCUUGGGCUUGCAGUGGGCACGGGCAGACUAGAGUGCGGUAGGGGUGACUGGAAUUCCUGGUGUAGCGGUGGAAUGCGCAGAUAUCAGGAGGAACACCGAUGGCGAAGGCAGGUCACUGGGCCGCAACUGACGCUGAGGAGCGAAAGCAUGGGGAGCGAACAGG